rnacentral:rRNA from 1 species
GCACAAGCGGUGGAGCAUGUGGUUUAAUUCGAGGCUACACGAAGAACCUUACCUAGGUUUGACAUCUUGCUGAAUACUGUGUGGAAGCAUGGUAGUCCCGCAAGGGACAGUAGGACAGGUGCUGCAUGGCUGUCGUCAGCUCGUGCCGUGAGGUGUUCGGUUAAGUCCGCAAACGAGCGCAACCCUCGGUGCCAGUUACAAGUGUCUGGCGCGACUGCCCGUGGCAAACGGGAGGAAGGUGGGGAUGACGUCAAGUCAGCAUGGCCUUUAUAUCUAGGGCUACACACACGCUACAAUGGCGCGUACAAUGGGUCGCGAACCCGCGAGGGGGAGCCAAUCCUAAAAAGCGCGUCUCAGUUCAGAUUGGAGUCUGCAACUCGACUCCAUGAAGCUGGAGUUGCUAGUAAUCGCGGAUCAGCAAUGCCGCGGUGAAUACGUUCCCGGGC